rnacentral:tRNA from 1 species
GGAAGCGUAUCGAAGUGGUCAUAACGGGCAUGAUUGGAAAUCAUGUAGCCUUCACGGGCUCAGGGGUUCAAAUCCCCUCGCUUCCGCCA